UAAGAGAAUCUCUCCGAGUUUGAGGUCAGC
rnacentral:piRNA from 1 species